rnacentral:rRNA from 1 species
CAGCAGCCGCGGUAAUACGGGGGGAGCAAGCGUUGUUCGGAUUUACUGGGCGUAAAGGGCGCGUAGGCGGCGCAACAAGUCACUUGUGAAAUCUCAGAGCUUAACUCUGAACGGUCAAGUGAUACUGUCGUGCUAGAGUGCAGAAGGGGCAACUGGAAUUCUCGGUGUAGCGGUGAAAUGCGUAGAUAUCGAGAGGAACACCUGCGGCGAAGGCGGGUUGCUGGGCUGACACUGACGCUGAUGCGCGAAAGCCAGGGGAGCGAACGGGAUUAGAUACCCCUGUAGUCCCUGUCUCUUAUAA